rnacentral:misc_RNA from 1 species
UCUGACAAGAAAAAGCCCAAAUCUUCAUCUAAGGAUGAAAGUCCCACUGCCCAUAAUACUGGUUUUGCUGCUGCAGCUUGUAGACAAACCCAAGUCAAGGAUGGAGUCAAGAAGAAGGACUCAUUCAANAAGUGCUGCUCAAUCGCCUGGGAGAUUGGGUUUGUCUAGUUCUGGGUCUAAGAAGCCUGCAUCUGCGACGGCGGCUGAUGGGAAGAACGCCGCCGCUUCAGUGUCUCC